rnacentral:rRNA from 1 species
CGUUAGUGUAUUUUUACAUUGUUGCAGUUAAAAGGCUCGUAGUCGAAUUUAUGGUUUUUAAGAGUUUUGCCUUGAGUUUACCUCUUGGAGUUAAACUUGUAAAAUCAUCUUUCUGGAAGAAUUUAUGUACUCUUGAUUGGGUUGUGUAAAGGAUCCAGAUCAUUUACUGUGAGUAAAUCAGAGUGUUCAAGACAGGCUUAAUGCUUGUAUGCUUUAGCAUGGAAUAAUAAGAUAUGACUUUGGUCUUAUUUUGUUGGCUUUUAAGAUAAAAGUAAUGAUUGAAAGGGAUAGUUGGGGGUGCUAGUAUUUAACGGUCAGCGGUGAAAUGCAUGGACCCGUUAAAGACUAACUUAUGCGAAAGCAUUCACCAAGGAUAUUUUCUUUG